AGCAGCCGCGGUAAUUCCAGCUCCAAUAGCGUAUAUUAAAGUUGUUGCAGUUAAAAAGCUCGUAGUUGAAUUUCGGGACUAAUAUGUCGGUCGUACUUUGUACGUACUAGCAUUAUUGGUUUCUCCCUUCUGACGAACUACGAUGUCAUUAAUUUGGUGUCGCGGGAAAUCAGGACUGUUACUUUGAAAAAUUAGAGUGUUUAAAGCAAGCUCGCGCUUGAAUACAUUAGCAUGGAAUAAUGAAAUAGGACGUUUGAUUCUAUUUUGUUGGUUUCUAGGAUCGACGUAAUGAUUAAUAGGGAUAGUUGGGGGCAUUAGUAUUCAAUUGUCAGAGGUGAGAUUCUUGGAUUUAUUGAAGACUAACUACUGCGAAAGCAUUUGCCAAGGAUGUUUU
rnacentral:rRNA from 1 species